rnacentral:lncRNA from 1 species
UCGUCCACGGUGACGGUCUUAGCAUGGCCGCCGAUAUAAUGUUCCUUCUCAUAAAUUACAACUUUGACCCCACAUUUUGCCAAUUCAUAUGCAGAAAUUAGUCCAUUUAUCCCUGCCCCCACCACACCUACUUUCAUCUUUUUCACUUUGGUUUCAAUUUAUAACUGCAAAAAUAAUGAACUCGAAAUGUCAUUAUUGAUUUUCUUAUGUCUAAAAACAACAUUUUUCUUGUUUAUAAGAAAGUUAUUUUCCUAAUAAUGAAAUACGAAAAAAUAUAUAUAUUGUCAUACCAAAUACAAGUAAGUAUUAUUUCCCUACUUUAAUUUUCGAGAACCGAGUGAGACCAGAGGCAGAGUUAGAGGACCGAAAGGAGGCUUACCCAAAUCCAUUCAUCGAAAAAUCUAGCACCCUAGGAAUAUUACAAGGUCGUGAUUUUUUUUUAAUGUAUGUUGUUCAUACUAAUGAUGUAUAUAGUAAUUAAUGAUGAAUCUCAAUGAAAAAUUCUAUACUAAUUAAUUCAAAAGGUAUAAAAAAAAAGAAAAACAAUACACAAUCGAGUUAAACAAGUGAAUCAAUACUCAACAAAGAAAAAACAUAGUAUUGUACCUUCACAAUAUUUUAUUAAAUGUGGCAAACUUAAAAAUGAUAUACAAUAAAAACUUUAGGUACUAGAUAUUAGUAUAUUACUCAUUAGAUGUGCAUAACCAUGAAAAUGUACCUUAGGGAUAUUGGUGGAGUUGUAGAGACCUUAAACUGCAGGAAGAAAGCAAAUGAAAUGAAAUGAUAAGUAUUAGAGUCUCC